rnacentral:rRNA from 1 species
UACGAAGGGGGGCUAGCGUUGUUCGGAUUUACUGGGCGUAAAGCGCACGUAGGCGGAUCGUUAAGUCGGGGGUGAAAUCCUGGAGCUCAACUCCAGAACUGCCUUCGAUACUGGCGAUCUUGAGUCCGGAAGAGGUGAGUGGAACUCCUAGUGUAGAGGUGGAAUUCGUAGAUAUUAGGAAGAACACCAGUGGCGAAGGCGGCUCACUGGGUCCGGGUAC